CACUAAGUAACUUAAAGCAAGUAUUGGUCUCUUAAACCAAACUAUAGUAACUAGCGAAUACUCUUGGUGA
rnacentral:tRNA from 1 species